UCUUCUGUCAAGUCACCUUGCAAGUCUCAUGCUUUCUGGAUUCACUGCAGAUUAGAGUACCCAGAAUUAGCCAAGACCUUCAACAUUUAAUGACUAGCCAUGGAGAAGAAAUAAGAUGAACUGCUUGUCCCAGAAAGCGAUAGAACUUUGAAAGCAGCUAUAUAUUUCCUAGCUACCUCUAAAAAAUGGAGCUGUCUUCAUGAGACCUGUAAGAAGCCAACAGUUUUCCUCACUGCCACCAUGU
rnacentral:lncRNA from 1 species